rnacentral:rRNA from 1 species
CGCGGUACUUGAAACUUAUUAGAGAAACUUGUUUUAAUAAAUCGAUAAUCCUCGAAGAAUUUUACCUUUAUUUGUAAAAUAUCAGUUUGUAUACCGUCAUAGAUGUAAUUUUUAUAAAAUUAUUAAUUAUUUAAAUAGACUAGAUUAGUAAAACAUUAGAUCAAGGUGCAGUUUAUAUAAAGGAUAAAGUGAGUUAUAAUAUUAUAAAAUAUAUAGAUGGAUAAUUAUUUGAAAAGAUUAAUUUGAAAAUGGAUUUAAUUGUAAUUAUUAAUUUUAAUAAGGUUUAAUGAAAAUAGUUCUGAAGUGUGU